UACAGAGGGUGCGAGCGUUAAUCGGAGUGACUGGGCGUAAAGGGCGCGUAGGCGGUUAUAUUAGUCUGAUGUGAAAGCUCUGGGCUUAACCUGGGAUAGGCAUUGGAAACGGUAUAGCUAGAGAGUGUGAGAGGGAAGGGGAAUUUCCGGAGUAGCGGUGAAAUGCGUAGAUAUCGGAAAGAACACUAGUGGCGAAGGCGACUUUCUGGCACACAACUGACGCUGAGGCGCGAAAGCGUGGGUAGCGAACAGGAUUAGAUACCCUGGUAGUCCACGCUGUAAACGAUGAGAACUGGGGGUAUGAUUGGCGCAAGCCGAUGUGUCUCUAAGCAAACGCACUAAGUUCUCCGCCUGGGGAGUACGACUGCAAGGUUAAA
rnacentral:rRNA from 1 species